UACUGAGCUUAAUACCUGGAUGAUAUGUACAACAAACCCCCGUGAUGUGUUUAUGUAACAAACCUUCACAGGUACCCCUAAACCUAAAAUAAAAAUGUUUUUAAUUGUGAUCAUGUUUUAGGACUGGAAGAGAAAAAUCUGUGAUAAUGUUUUUAUUAUUUAAAAGUGUGGUUUUUUCCUGAGUCUUACUUUGAAAAAUUAUAUGGAAUAGUUUGCAUGGCAUAUUCCUUGCAUCGUAGAACUUUCUCUGCUUCAGGCCAAAUUGAAAUAGAGACAGAAAACAAAGAGACCAAGAGAGGAUAUGGAGAAUAUCAACCAUUUGUUUCCUUUCCUGUAUUCAAAGACAAACAUCUUAGUUGUCUGGAUCUAUUGAAAUUAGUACUUGUUAAAGCUUUUAAAUGUUACUAGAAUACAUUGUUAAAGCCAUAUCUAAUUAAAUUUUUCUGAUUAAGCAUGAUUAAAUAAUUGUUUCAGCAAUUACACAGUUCAUGAUUAUGGUGUGUGAUGGGACGCUAUUUUCUUUUAAAUCUGUUAUUAAGUAAAAUAUGUAUUGGUGGCCAAGUAUAAGUUUUAGUGCGACUUGCUGUCUCUUGGAAAUUUUGCAUAUAUAGCUUAAAGACCAGUGGAGUAGAUUGGGAAGUUCUGUCAGCUUCAUAAUUUUGGAAAACAGAAACAAAAGAAAAAACAAUGCUGAUUAAACAUUCUUAGCCAUAAGAAGAUAUGUGAGUGUGGCUUAGCUAAUAAAUAAUACCUACUUUCUUACUAUGUAUCACUUAAUGACAUUUUUUGCUAUGAAAUAUAUAAUAGUUAUGCAUUUGCUAUUUUGCAGUUAUUUCACUGCCCUAUUAACAUCAAGGGUAACUGAUUGUUGUAUUAGUAGUUCCUGACAAAUAGAAAUUAUUUGAUAUUCUAUGCCAUUUCUGACAAGAUAUAAAGUUUUGACAAACACAUAUGGCACAGCAAGUGUCCAAUUCUAAAGAGCAAAAUAAAUGCAAACCACCAUUAUGGUGAACACAAACAGCCUGAAAGCAAGUUAUCAGUAAGCAAAUAAUUGUUGAACUGUUAUGAAUGGAAUAGGAUGUUGAAAUAGGGCAUGAUUGGCUGAUGUUACAUAUGUCCUUGAUUACCUUCCUUGUGCUUUUAUCCUAAUAAGUGACAUUCUUUGUAUUCCCUUGGAUGGCUAGACAGUCUGACACUGAAGAAGAAUAAAUAUUGCAUGUGGUACACAUUAAGCUGUCAUCCAAGACAGCAUUUAUAAAAAGUAACUGAGAAAUUCAUAAGAAAUUCUGCACUGCUCCAGUUUCCUGGCUCCAGUCAUAAUUGUCAAAGUUCUUGACACAUUCAGGUCUUCAGAAAUGAUUUAGGUUUACAGUGGUUUGGUGUAUGAAUAAUUAUUAUGGAUUUGAGUUCUCAUAUUGCCUUUGGAUGUUAAUGUUGGUUACCAAAAUGUUAUAUUUUAUGAUAAUUUUUAUUUUAAGAAAUGUCUCUAUAUUGAUAAUUGUGACAUAUCUUCCACCUUACAGACUUUCAUCAAAGGCUUUUAGACAAUUCAUGUAAUUGAAAGGAAGAACAGAAGUUUUUAAAUGUUUACAUUAUCUUUAAUCUGUUGGAAAAUAUUGCUUGCUUGUGUUUAGUGCUAGCAAACAAUUUUGAAAAUAAGUAUUUUUAUUUUUCUUCCCUAGCAACAUUGGAAAGCCUUCAAACAGUCUAAAUGAAUACCAUUUUAAAACUAUUUCCAAAAAAACCAAAUCACUGAUGUUUCAUUUUAAAAUAUUGUAUGCUUUUAUUCACAUACUUUUGUUAUUUUAACAUAGUUCUUUGAGGCAAGUGAGUAUUUUAUUUGCUGCAGUCACUAUUUUCUCUUAAAAUUUCCUUCCAUAGGAUGGUAGGUAGAAAUUAAGAUAUAAUAUUAUACUGCAAUAAGCAUACCUAAAGAAAGAGGUAAAUUAUGAAUGUAAAUUUAGAGAGCACAUUUUAAGCCCCUUUGUCUUUCUUUAAAACACCUCCCCUUUUUAAGCUAUCUAUAUGGUAUAUAAUGUCUGAAGGAUGCCCCCUCCAAAUUAUUUUUAUAUUUUUGUAAUCUGACACAAUUAUCUUAAACCAUUUGAAAUUAAGCAAUUAGUAGUCUCAUUCUAUAAUCAAAUCAAGAAUAUAGUAUAUUCUAUCAGCUGGUGAUUUCUAAAAUGUGAUUAAGUAUCAGAAUGAUUUAGGAUCCAAUACCAAUAUGAAAAUAAAAUAACAGCGUUAAGUUCCAAAUUCUGAGCCCCUGUUUUAGGGGAAUGAGUGGACAGUGAGGGUUUCUGUAACAACUGUAUUUUAUGUUGGUUUUAAUAUUUAUAAUAUUAAUUUGGGAAAAUGUUUAGGAUGCUGUCUUUGCUUCGAAAUCUAAACUAUCCAUUUAGAUUGAAGAAACUUUUCUCCAAGUAUAACACUACUCCAAUGUUACCUAUAGCUUUUAACUCUCUAGGCCACUACAGAGCACAAAAUAUUUGCCCAACUGGUAAAUUGAACCGUGAGUCCCACUGUGGGAAAUUGCUUUGCUGUGCUCCAAACAGCAGUUAUCUUAGUAAUUGUACCUGAAUUCUUUGUGGCUAAUAGAGCGUAGACGUCCAUUUUACAAACAGAAAAUUAUUUCUCUUAAAUACUUUUAAUUAUAAAGUCCCCAAAUAAAAUGUGAGCCAGUAGACAAUAGUGAGACAUUAAACCACAUCAUUUUUAAUUGUUAGUGCAGAAAAGUGAAAUUCUUUUUUCCUUUUAGUGUAAAACUGUACAUAUCCGACAUUUCACAUUCUAAACUGGAGCUCCCAACAAGGAGCUUAUCAGAGCAAAUUGUCUAGUCCAUCCCCUUCCUCACUCAAAACCUAAUGACCCUUUAUCAUCAUGGUUUAGAUUGCUGGACACAGAUGUGAGAAAAUACAAGUAAUCUCCAGGUAACUACAGUAGCUGCACUGAUGUUCUCAGAGAACUGACUGCUGGGAAGAUAAAGAGCUUCCCACAGAGUCUGUGACUUUCUGGCAGCAAGGCACAUCAUGAGCUCAUACAUGAAGUUUUAUUUGCUGAAGAUUCACAAUAAGAUGCAUUAGAACAUUCAGCAGGGACUCUUUUUAGAUGAGCACAGAAAUUCUGGAGGGUUAUUAGUUGAUGCACCAGUGCAUAGCGUCACACUAAAAUAAGAAUAAUUCUACAAUAAUCCUUUCCAUGUACACCAAAGAUUAUGACCACAAUGCGGCAUUAUUAUUGACUUCUUUUCUUGAUAUUUAUAUAAUCUACUAAACUCUAAUCACUUUCUCUUCACAAAUGGCUGAACUUCUUGCUGAAAACAGUUUGGUUAUGGUUUUUAAUAGGAAAGCAGAACAGCAGUUUCUCAAACUUUAAUACUAAAUUGCAUUUCAAAGGACUUGUUUGUGGCCAGGUGCUCUGCUUUUGUUAGCUGCUUAGAUUGUGAUCAGUGAGGUAAACUCAUUUAUCUGUUUGCAUGCAAUUGAGUAAUUUACCAUGAAAAGAAUGAGUGGUUUUUGGAUAAAGGUACUGCACCUGUAGCUUAAGUUUUAUAAUUGUUAGUUUGACUAUUAUUUGCAAUGAUCAUAGUUUCAUACUGCUUUAGAAAACAACAAUACAAAAUAUAUUUACUUAUUUAUAUAUGAGAUGUUUUGUUUUUAGUUAAUGAAUUUGGUUUAAGUUUACUAGAUUGGGGUGAAUCAAUAUGAAUUAUACUGUCUGAACUUCAGGUGUGUAUUUCUUUUUAAAAACCAUUUGCUUGUCGUAUUUUUAAAAAGCAAAUUAAUUUUGUUUCUAUAAAACACUGUAACUACUAGAUUAGGAAUAGUGAUAUUACUUUUGUAUGUCUUCAAAUGGUUUUUAGAAAUUAUUAUUUUAAUAGCUGAAAGAUAAAGAUAGUUUUCAACAACCAGUAUUGGUUAAGCAGUUGACAGCCAACCAAAAGAGAUACUGAGAUAUUUGAUUCAUUCUUAUAUGGUUGUGUGUCCUAUGCACCUAGCUUAAUUGUUGCUGUUUAUGGAAAAUAUUGAAACACUCAGAAAAUUAGAGAAGAUACUAGUUAAAUCUUUUUGGCUAGGUUCGUACUCAUUUUUGUUUCAAGAAUAUUAUAAUGUACUUUUAAAAACAGUCCUUUGCAAAUGGAGCGCCACAAUUAUAUCAAAUAUAUCUGCAAUCUUAAUAAUUAAUUUAAUAUUAAGCUUCUAGUAUAGAAUAGCCAGUGAGAAAAGUAAAGUUAUCAGCAAACAAAACAAACAGAUUAUCUAUAAGUACUGCUGAUCAUUAGAAUCCCUAUUAUUCUUCUGAUAGCAAUUAGGGUCACUCUUUUUGGAGAUUUUUCUGUCAGUUAAGAUUUUCAGUUUACCCUGAUAUAUUUGAAAUAUUCGUAGUUUCAUGGCAUAGAUAAAUCUAGAAAACAGAACACUGAAGAAUUGUUUGAGGUGGUGUUAUACAUUAAUUCUGUUUUUAGUUUCCUAUAAGAUCUAAAGAAAAAACUGUAUUUGUUUCCAUUUAGCAGCAAAUAGGAAACACAGAACUCAAAAUUCUACAAAGUACAUUUUCCUGCCAUCUUCAUAUUUAAAAGGAAAGAAACCAGAGGAGCAUGUGCAGCAUAAGAUUGUUUUGCAUUUUUGUUUUUACAUCACCAGAUUAAGUAUAAUGAAACCCAUCUGCAAAUUGUAGGAACUACUCAUUGAUUUUUGUCAAGGACCGUAGAGUGGUUUUUCCCUUCUUUUUCUUCUACUUUUUUUUUCUAUUUCAACAAGAUAUACAUAAAAUUAAAAACCUUGUCUGUUAUAAAGUUUUGUUUGAGCUUUUUAAACUGAGUGAUUAGCAGAAAUAAUGACCCUGUCAGCCUUAAUCACAUUAAAAUGUGGUUAACAUCAUUUAAUUUUUUCCACUUAAUAUGCAAAAAUUUCCAGUAGAUUUGCAGUGAAGGCCAUUGAAAUUCCAUUAGAACAAGAAUAAAAAUUUCAGGCAUCAUUUAUUCAGAGAAGGAAUAAGGUCUUGACUGAGAACUGCUGAAUCUUUCUAUUAGAGACACUAUGAAUCAUUACAUUGAAUUGUACCUAUGUUUCAAUAGACCUGUGUCUGGCUUUUCAAGUGGUUGAAAAUCAUGUGUUUUUAUCAUUUUUCAUAAGGAGAAAUAAGCCAGAAUUGCAUAAUUAUUUUAUAAAUAUUUAAAAGACUACUGAACAGUUUUUGUGCUGCUUCAACCUGCUUAAAUUUUAAGUAGAAAGUUGGUUGUACUCUGGAAACAGGAUAAUGAAAUAAUUAUUUUAAAACAUAGAAGAAACUGCAUAGCCAUCCCACAAAAUGGACAGAUUGUAUUUUAAGUGGUUAUGUUGGUAUAUGCCAAGAAAGAAAUUAAGAACCAAGUGACGCUAGCUCUUUCCCAAAGUUCAUAGCUUAUCAUUUGUCAAGCUUCAACUGGUAUGUUAUGCUGCAUUAGCUAUGUAUGAAUUACAACCAAAGAAUAUUCUACUCUUUCUAGUAUUUAUUCUUCUAUGAUCAUUUCGAUAUUUAAUUGUUGUAAUAUGUUCUUAGAAUUAAAAAGUAGGAAAAGCUUAAUGUUAUUUUAAGCAGUGUGUACCAUUUAUACCUUCUUUGGCAUGUGCACAUUUGCCAGCAUCCUGAAAACUUACAUUGUGUGGAAUGUUUUUCCCCCAUUUAAAAAAACAAAAGUGUUACUGUAUAUACCUGAUAAGCAGAAAUGGCUCUCUGGAACCAUUCUUAUCCUUCGGGUAAUUAAGUAAUUAUACAGUGUUGUGGGUUUUUUUUAAUUUGUAUUUUGUUACUGAACCAUUUGGACCCAUUAUACAAUUACACUGUGUGUACUUUGUAGUAAAAAUACCACUGGAAAAUUCAUCAGGGAAAGUAGUCUAUGCAUAUGCUAUUCACAAGGUAUAAAUUUCUCCCUCCUCCCAUUUCUAUGUCUGUGAAAAUCUCAGAAUAUUGUCUGCUUUACUCAUACCACUUCGCCACAUCAUGGUUGACUCUGUGCUUCCUCAGAAACACCUUGUCUGACUGCCUUGCCUAGAGUAAUCCCCCAGACUCCCUUUUGUUCUCCAUCAUAAGAUCAUGUUUAUUUCCUUCCGAGCACUUAUCACAAGCUGUAUAAUCUUGCUUACUUGUCUCUUGUUUUUGUUUUAUUUGUUUGUUUUCUUGUAAGAAUUUAAAUUCCAUGAGAAUAAGGACCAUGCAUGUUUUGUUCAUUUUGUAUCUCUAGUGCUUGGCACUGGACUCAGUAAAUAUUGUUGAUUGAUCAAAUAGCUGGCUGGAUGAAAUCCAUUGAAUUUAUCCCCUUUGUUCAACACUGACUUUUAGUCUUCAUUAAUGAAAUAUUUGGGUGACUUGAAGUCAGUCUAUUCUGGUUAGUUACAUCUAUGGUUUAGAGCACAGGUGCAUAGGCUGUGUAUGCCAGGGUUAGCACACACUGCCUGUAAUGGAACAGAAUAUUUUUGUCUAGGACUACACAGUCUCUGUUGUAGCUACUCAACUUUGCCAUUGUAAUGCAAAAGCAGCCAUAGACAAUAUGUAAACAGAUGGGCAUGUCAUUGUUGGAAUAGAAUUUUAUUUAUGGACACUGAAAUUUGAGUUUUUGUGUUGUUUUUUUUUUUUGAAAUUUGAGUUUUAUAUAAUUUCACUGUCACAAAAUAUUUUUCUUCUUUUGGUUUUUUAAGUCAUUUAAAAACAUAAAAAUCAUUCACUGCACAAAAAUGUGUGCAGUGAAUUGCUUAUCCCUCAGUCAUGUGAUUAGCCAAAUACACAUGAUACACAUGUACACAUGAUUAUAUAUCUUCAUUCAUCUCUUAAAGUAGUUCCUCUCUCUCCUGCAUCAUCAGUUCUUCCUCAUUCAGUGGAUGUUCCCCAGUAGCAUAUAAGCAUGAUGUUAUUUCUCUAAUCCUAGAACAACAACAUAUUGUGACUCUGCUUGCCUUUCACACUACUGCUCAUUUCUCUCCUUCCUUCUCGAAAGUGAUAUAUUACUCAUUGUCACUUGGGCCGCCAUGAAAAGCUCAGCAGUCUUCUUUGUACAAAUGAAGAAAAAAUAUCAUUUGAAAAGUAUAGCUCUCGAUUCACAAAUUGAGUUUUUGAAAAUAAAUAGGCAACUUGAUACAAUAGGAAGAUCAGGAACUUUGAAGUCAGGUGGGCUUGAAUCCUGCAGCUACCACUGUGACAAAUGAUACCAAAAAUCAUUAAGUAGUAAAUGAAUUUGCAUAUGUAAAAUGCCUGCCAGUUUCUCCUUUCCCUUUCAAAAACAUGUGGUUGUGUAGCAGCAUAUAUUUUAUUAUUACUCUGCAGAUUUCCCUUAUUUGACAGAAAGCUAGCCUGGAAAGUAGAUCAUGAUUAAUAAUUCUUCCUCAAAACAAUAUGACCUUCAUUUUGGGGUUGGAGUUCUUGACUAGAGAAAGAGCACUUUCAUUCUAUGUGCAUUUCUCUGUCUCUGUCUCUGUCUCUCUCAGAAUAAACCAAACUUAGAAACUUCAUGACCCUCUUCUGCUUGGCUUUUGGGUGACCGGCUUAUUAGCCUUUCAUUUAUAAUCUCUUCUCUACUGAGUUUUCUCUGUCUGCCAUGACUCUUCCCUAGGGAUUGGUAAUUGCGGGAUUCUGUUAACUUUCUUCACUUGCCUUCUGUGCUUAUGCCUCAGCUCUAACUUGUGUACCGUUGUUCUCAAACUUUAGAGUGCAUUAGAAUCAUCUGGAAGCUUUAUUAAACAGAUUGCAGGACCUCACCUUCAGAGUUUCUGAUUGAGAUGGGGCCUGACAAUUGUCCAGCAUGCUCCCAGGUGAUAUUGAUGUUCCUGAUACUUGGAUGAUACUUUGAAAAGCAUUGCUCUCUGCUAAUGAUUUAUAAAUCUAGCCUUCGUUUCUCCUCUUUGCCCUUUACAAGCUUCAUUAUUCCUGAUUGUCAACGAGAAAUCUUCAUUUGAAUAUUCUCUUAUCAUACUAAAUGUAAGAUUUAUAAAACUAAACUCCCUGUUUUUUUCUAUAGUAAUAUCCACAAUGAAAUCUACUUUCAGAUUUUCCUGUCUUUGUUAGCAUUGGCACCCUCUGAAUCAUUUAGACUUGGGCUCUUCAAAUCAUUUUAACAUAACCUCUUUUAUACAUUAUAUUCUGUUAAUCAAGUUUCAUGUUUUUUCUUCUAAAUCUCGCCUUUAUUUAUCUCUUCUUCAGUUACACUGUUUGUCAAGCAAGACUAAAAUUGCAUCACUUCAUUUUGGAGUUAGGUAACUGCCUCCUUACUGUCCUUGACUCUGUUGCUUCUUUUCCUCUGCAGGGCAUUCUGAUUAGCUUUGAACACUUCCACUCUGCCAUUUUUCUUCAUGUCACAAUCCUUCAUUGAAACAUAGAAGAUUAUCUUCACAAACCAGGAUAGGCAAAGAUCUCUUGGACGAGUCACAAAAAGCACUAACCAUAAAAGAAAAAAAAAAUGGACCUUGUUAUGUCAAAAAAAACUUCUGUUUAUCAAAAAUCACCAUUAAGAAAAUGAGUAGAUUAGCCACUAGCUGGAAAAAUGUGUCCACAGCACAAAUAUCUGACAAAGGACUUGUUUUCAGAAUACAUAUUUUAAAAAUUUCUACAGAUGAACAAUAUAAAUACCAGUGACCCAGCUUUUAAAAUGAGCAAUACUUGAACAUAUACUUUAUAAAAGAAGAUAAAUGAAUAAACAUAGAAAGGUACUCAGCAUCUUUAAGCCAUCACGGAAAGACAGAUUAUAAUCAUAGUUGAAUAUAAUUUCAUACUUACUAGAAUGGCUAAAAUAAAAAUAACACCACCAAAUGUGGACAAGGAAGGGGAACGACCAAAGGAACGUCAUGCAUUGUUGGUGGGAAUAUAAAGUGGCACAACUGCUUUGGAAAAUUGGCAUUUUCAUUUAAGUUAAGCAUAUAUUUACAUUGUGAUACAGUAAUUCCAAUUUUCAGCAUUUACUUAAAAGAAAUGGAAACAUGUUAAUGUCUUAUAGAUGCAUUUAUUACACAAAGUAGCAGGCUUAUUCAUGAUAGUUCAAAACUGGAAACAGCUCACAUGUCCAUCAAUAGGAAAAUGAAUAAGUUGUGGUCUAUUUAUGCUAUGGAAAUCAGGCACCUUACCAA